rnacentral:rRNA from 1 species
CACCUCUUCCCAUUCCGAACAGAGAAG